rnacentral:rRNA from 1 species
UACAGAGGGGGCAAGCGUUGUUCGGAAUUACUGGGCGUAAAGGGCGCGUAGGCGGCCUGUUAAGUCGAACGUGAAAUCCCCGGGCUCAACCCGGGAACUGCGUCCGAUACUGGUAGGCUUGAAUCCGGGAGAGGGAUGCGGAAUUCCAGGUGUAGCGGUGAAAUGCGUAGAUAUGCGGAGGAACACCGAUGGCGAAGGCAAUCCCCUGGGCCUGCACUGACGCUCAUGCACGAAAGCGUGGGGAGCAAACAGG